CAUUUCUAGGUGUAUUUGUAGACGCAGGAGAAUUUGUGUACCCAACUUUUUCAACAUCAAAAUCUUGUCAUCUCUGCAUGCUCUUGGACUGUGGAUGUCAAACGCCAUCCUCUUACCCCUUUCGCGUGUCAUCUGAAAAUGAACUGGCGCACCGACUGGUUGAUGUGAAAUGAGCCUGAUGCCAAUCAAUCAGUUGGAUCAUUCUGCCCUUCAAGUGUGUGCACUGGUUUCAUCUGUUCUUUGGUGUGAACAACGUCUAUCCUUAGUCCACAAUUCAGGUGAAGCGUUUCCCUUCCAGUGUGCGGCGGCCUCUGUGGUGCAGUCAGAGAGGAGCCCGAAAGGCUCCUUGGAUAAGGGCACCCUUUCCGGGCUGGCGUCCCCACCUCCAGAGACAACACACCGGCAGUGCGGAGGAGCCUGUCAAGGUCAAGGUCAAGGUCAAGGGGGAGGCCCAAUCUGGUCUUGCUGUAUGUGCUGUGAGCCUUGUAAAUGACGCAAGCAUCUAGAGUUACUGUAAACCUCAGGACUUUAGCCUCCUGACUGUUCUGUCACACUAAUGGGAGCCAUGUGAUGAGGAUCAGUUUUCACUGAUGUAGACACGGAGUCUUUUAUGUGUGUGAACAUGAAGACAACAAUAUGCAAUGCAUCAGCUGUUGUAACUGUCCUACGAACCUGUUUCAGUGUUAAUCUUUUUUCUCUUUUAAACAAACAAAAAAAAAAAUCCAUACUCCAUCGUCAAAGGAAGCAAAUGUCUUUUCUUUCUAAGCAAAAUUUCUAAAGACAAAGAUUUUAAUGCACAUUUUCCCUUUUUUUGUAGUCUAUAAUAUGUGCCAUUUUGAAAACAAAUAUUUCUUUAAGGGAAAAAAUAAACUUCAGAAGUAUUGUUUCUGAAGUUAUUUUUUAUUUGUCCAUUAUUGUUGAGUAUUUGUUUCCUUUAUAAUGAAAUAUAUAAAUCCAAUUUCAACAUGUGAGCUGUCCACACAACAUGCAUUUGAUCUGAGGGCCAAUUGCCCCUUAGUUUUAGCCAUAAUAAAAUGUUUUCAUUAAAAAUUGUGCUAUAGAUAAAGUUAUCACUUUAUAGUGGUACCUUGCUUUAUGACCUUCAUUUGUUUUAUGAUUUAGGGGAAGGUGGCCGCAUUUCUGUUUGUGUGGGGCAGGUGGCUGUGGUCGUGCUUGUCACCUGAUGUGGAGUUUACAUAUGGAAACAAAAUUUUGCUGAAUGCUUCUGUUUGCAAACUGAAUUGUUCAUAAACUGAAGCAUUACUGGACUUUUUCAUAAUACAAAUGUUAAAGAACUGUGUCAUUUCCUAUUAACUUAUAAUAAUUUUUUCAUUUCUAUUAUAAGCAAGACACUAGAUUGCUAAUUUUUAUCUCAAAAGGCAUCCCUUUACGGGGGAAUUAUAACAAAAUAAACAAAGUUCUGGCUUCUAAAGGGCUAAUGGUAUAGUUUAGUAUUGUAAGAGUUUAGAAAAAUGAAAGCCAAUCGUGUUUGGCUUUGAAAAAUGGAAAGAAUUUGGAUAAAAAGAGGGACAGUAUUGCGGGAUGUGGUAACAGAGUGAGCAAAAUUCUGGUCAUGAAAUGGAGAAGAAACAAGUUUGCCUCAAGUUUAUAAUUUGGGCUUUACAUUAGUUACCCUUAGCAAUGUGGUGCUUAUCUAUACAUUAGUUAUCUAUAACCAUGCAGUAUUGUUUAUGACAAUAUUAACUCAAACACAGUGGCUUAGAACAACUACUCACUUUCUGUGAGUGAAGAUUUGGGCACAGUUCAGCCAGUAUUUCUGCUCCUGUCUCACAAGGCGGGAGUCAGUGUUGAUUGGGCCAGAGGUCUCACUGGAGGCUUGACUGAAGAAGGACCUGACUCUAUGCCCUGUGGUUGUGGGCAGCACUGUGGUCCUUGGAGUCUUUGUGAGACCAGGAGGCUUCAUUCCUUGCUGGCUGCUGGCCAGUCCUCAGAUAUUUGCCGUAAUGGCCUCCAGCAUCAGAAAACCGAGAAAGAAGGGAGAGUCUCCUAGUGAGACAUUACAAUCCUCUGCAGCAGAGUUAUGUACGGGUCAUCACCUUCCCUGUGUUCGGCUGGUCAGGUGCAAGUCAGAGAUCCCACUCCUUCCAAGGCAUAAAAUAACACCGGGGCGAGACUGCACACUAUAGGCAGUGGUCAAGAAGACCACUUCACAGCCUCUUCACCGUGAGGAUCAAGAAGAAAAAUCAUUUACUACUCUCUUUAAAAUAAAAAAAAAGUAAAUGCAAAAGAAAAAAGAAGAAGAAAAAACUCAGGAAAUAAAUAAGAGUGAUUUUUUUCAAUGAAGAAAUGGGUAAAUAUAUGUGGUUAUUGUCAUUUUGAGUGGAAAAGCACCUAACAUCUUAUCUGUUGCUGAUAUAAACUGGGAUGUGUGUUAGGGGCAGUGGUCUCACUUGCAAAGGGUUACUGUCCGACUCCAUGCAGAUCGUUUGGGAAGCAGUACUUGAGGGGUUCAGACUGCUCCUUCAGAAUGUGUGUGGUGCAGCCGGAGGAGGUGGCCAGGGUAGAGGACUGUGUGCAGCUUUUGAACAGAAUGUGGUGAACAGAGAGCUAAAGGGCCAUUUCCUAUACAUGAAGAAAGCCUCAACAGAAUUUGGUAGAUCUGCAGGUCCUAGUUAGUGAGAGAACAAUGAGGAAAUUACAUAAAUUACAAUUGGGGUAGGUAAGACUCAAAAGCAGUUUGACCCCAGAACCCAGACUCUUACUCUGCACCCUUACUGUUUCUGAAGUGCGAAGGUUUUUGGCAAAAGCAUCUCAGAGAUCUUUCAGCCCUACCUGAUUCAUAUGGAAAGCUGAGAGUGCACAGUAGUUCAGGUUCGGCCCCUAAUGGUGGAAUAAUCACCUGGUAUAGUCAGAAGCAACAGUUAAAACAAAAUAAAAUCCCAAGUACUACUGCUUUAAAAGAUUCUCAUAUUCUUUUCUUCACAACUCUUAUUUUGUAGGAGGAGCGCUCUCAGAGCAGCAUUGGUUAUCGCUUAAGGAUUUCUAAAGAAGAGGCACCCCACGUAGUUGAAAGAGAUUGAGUGUCUGAAGAACUCCUUGAGGGUUCUGCUGCUCAGGGGAUUAGGCUAUCAAGUAAUUCUGUUAAAAUAAUGUUUUAAUAGCAACAGUCCCCUGUCUCAGGAAAGAAGAAAGCUGUAUAAAGUGGAUAAUUUCUCAAUCUUUUUUUUUUUUUUUUCAUUCCUCUACCUCUUCAGUACAAAUCCAAUGUGCGGCUUUUAAAGCAACAUGAGACAGAGAUGGGAGAAGCUUAAACAAAUCUACUGGAGCAUUUUUGUCUGCUAACUUCAAAGGGAAGUCAGACUUCAAGGACAUGUGUAGAGAUUCAGCAGGGAGGAGGCUUAAGUUAUCUUAUGACAGUUUGUCUAGGUAUGUAGCAUUGCUAAGUGUGAGCACCACCUAAGGUUGCUAAAGAGGCCCUGGGAGGGGGUGAGGGAAAGAUGUGUACUAGAAUUUAAUCACUAAAGUGGUUCAGAGAUCCUAGUAGUAAUCAUAUCAGGCUGAUAGAUGAUCUGAAAACUGUGUGAAGUGUUUGUUGUUCAAAACAAUGAUCUGAUUAUGUCUUUUUUGGUGCGAACCAAUC
rnacentral:lncRNA from 1 species